rnacentral:rRNA from 1 species
AGUGAACGCUGGCGGUAGGCCUAACACAUGCAAGUCGAACGGCAGCACAGUAAGAGCUUGCUCUUACGGGUGGCGAGUGGCGGACGGGUGAGGAAUACAUCGGAAUCUACUUUUUCGUGGGGGAUAACGUAGGGAAACUUACGCUAAUACCGCAUACGACCUACGGGUGAAAGCAGGGGAUCUUCGGACCUUGCGUGAUUGAAUGAGCCGAUGUCGGAUUAGCUAGUUGGCGGGGUAAAGGCCCACCAAGGCGACGAUCCGUAGCUGGUCUGAGAGGAUGAUCAGCCACACUGGAACUGAGACACGGUCCAGACUCCUACGGGAGGCAGCAGUGGGGAAUAUUGGACAAUGGGCGCAAGCCUGAUCCAGCCAUACCGCGUGUGUGAAGAAGGCCUUCGGAUUGUAAAGCCCUUUUGUUGGGAAAGAAAAGCAGCAGGUUAAUACCCCGCUGUUCUGACGGUACCCAAAGAAUAAGCACCGGCUAACUUCGUG